rnacentral:miRNA from 1 species
GAAACAAGAAAGUGGAGACAACGUUUCGGCUCCUCUCUGAGCCUUUAUAAAGUCUUUGACUUGGUAAAGACUCAAAAAGGAGCCGAAACGUUGUCUCCUCUUUCUUGUUU